UACGAAGGGGGCUAGCGUUGUUCGGAAUCACUGGGCGUAAAGCGCACGCAUGCGGAUCGUUAAGUCGGGGGUGAAAUCCCGAGGCUCAACCUCGGAACUGCCUUCGAUACUGGCGAUCUUGAGUCCGGGAGAGGUGAGUGGAACUCCGAGUGUAGAGGUGAAAUUCGUAGAUAUUCGGAGGAACACCAGUGGCGAAGGCGGCUCACUGGCCCGAAACUGACGCUGAGGUGCGAAAGCGUGGGGAGCAAACAGG
rnacentral:misc_RNA from 1 species